rnacentral:lncRNA from 1 species
UGUGGAUGAUGCAUAUACAAUUACAGCAUAUAUGAAUGCUUGGAGUGACGAGUUUAAUCUAUUACCACAUAAAGAUUAUUGGAUGCAUACAGGUAUGUUUAAAUGUAUUUCUGAUCAUCAUCGUUUGAGACCCAAGCAGAAAGACAGACCAAAGUCAACAAAAUUAUGAAAUGAGAUGGAUGAUAGGCAAAUAAGAAGCAAGAAUCAUUAUGGUAUUUGUAAGGGAUAAUAUCAUGAUCGCCACC